rnacentral:ncRNA from 2 species
AAGAAGGGUAUAGGAGAGAGCUUGCUACAGAUCAGCAGGCCGCCGAAGGGACAAGUCUUGUUUUUCCCAAAAAAGCAAGGUGAAAUUCUCAGGCAAAAGGACUAUAUCUGGACA